rnacentral:piRNA from 1 species
UGCCAAUGCGACUGCUUUUUUCCGCCAAC